ACCUGCGGAAGGAUCAUUAUUGAAUAAACUUGAACAGGUUGUUGCUGGCCCUCCAACUGGGGUGGUAUGUGCACGCUUGUCAUCUUUAUCCCUCCAACUGUGCACAUAUUGUAGGACCUGGAGAAAAAAAAUUGUACUCGUACAAAUUGGGGACUGCUGUGCUUUCAAACCAAAAGUCGGCUUUUCCUUGUAAUUUAUCCAGGCCUAUGUUAUUUUCAUAACCUCUGAACAUGUUUAGAAUGUUGAAUCAGGUCGUUUGUACCUAUAAAGUUAUAAUAUACAACUUUCAGCAACGGAUCUCUUGGCUCUCGCAUCGAUGAAGAACGCAGCGAAAUGCGAUAAGUAAUGUGAAUUGCAGAAUUCAGUGAAUCAUCGAAUCUUUGAACGCACCUUGCGCUCCUUGGUAUUCCGAGGAGCAUGCCUGUUUGAGUGUCAUUAAAUUCUCAACUACACUAAGUUUUCUAUAGUGUGGCUUGGAUAUGGGGGUUUUUCUAUUUGCAGGCUUUAGAAAUGAGGCCUGCUCCCCUGAAAUAUAUUAGUGGUAUCUGAGCAGAAACUACUACAGGUGUGAUAAUUAUCUAUGCCUUGGUGUACUGCAUUGAACAGAUUGUACUGCUUCAAAACGGGCCUAAGUUGUUGGGCACAUUUGAUAAAUUUGACCUCAAAUCAGGUAGGACUACCCGCUGAACUUAAGCAUAUCAUAA
rnacentral:rRNA from 1 species